GAAAAAGAAAAAGAAAGUGUGGAUGAUAUGAUUAUACUAAUCACUCUUCUCUUUCUUUCUUCUU
ensembl:ncRNA D1046.10 ncRNA